UACGUAGGGGGCAAGCGUUGUCCGGAAUCAUUGGGCGUAAAGCGCGCGUAGGCGGCCCGGUAAGUCCGCUCUGAAAGUCCAGGGCUCAACCCUGGAAAGCGGGUGGAUACUGCCGGGCUAGAAUCCGGAAGAGGCGAGUGGAAUUCCUGGUGUAGCGGUGGAAUGCGCAGAUAUCGGGAAGAACACCCGUGGCGAAGGCGGCUCUCUGGGACGGUACUGACGCUGAGACGCGAAAGCGUGGGGAGCGAACAGG
rnacentral:rRNA from 1 species